UGUGUGUGUGCAUGAGAAG
rnacentral:piRNA from 1 species